GACGAACGCUGGCGGCGUGCUUAACACAUGCAAGUCGAACGGAAAGGCCCUGCUUUUGUGGGGUGCUCGAGUGGCGAACGGGUGAGUAACACGUGAGUAACCUGCCCUUGACUUUGGGAUAACUUCAGGAAACUGGGGCUAAUACCGGAUAGGAGCUCCUGCUGCAUGGUGGGGGUUGGAAAGUUUCGGCGGUUGGGGAUGGACUCGCGGCUUAUCGGCUAGUUGGUGGGGUAGUGGCUUACCAAGGCUUUGACGGGUAGCCGGCCUGGGAGGGUGGCCGGCGACAUUGGUACUGCGAGAGGGACCAGUAGCGAACGUGAGGCAGCAGGCGGGAGUAUGGCACAAUGGGCGGACGUGUGAGACAGCGACCUCGCGUUCGUGAUGACCGCCUUCGGGUUGUAAACCGCUUUCGCCUGAGACGAAGCGUGAGUGACGGUAAUGAGUAAAGAAGCACCGGCUAACUACGUG
rnacentral:rRNA from 1 species